UACGUAGGGGGCUAGCGUUGUCCGGAUUUAUUGGGCGUAAAGAGCGUGUAGGCGGCUUGGCAAGUCUGCUGUGAAAACUCGAGGCUCAACCUCGAGCUGUCGGUGGAAACUGCUUGGCUAGAGUCCGGAAGAGGAGAGUGGAAUUCCUGGUGUAGCGGUGAAAUGCGCAGAUAUCAGGAAGAACACCUAUGGCGAAGGCAGCUCCCUGGGACGGUACUGACGCUGAGACGCGAAAGCGUGGGGAGCGAACAGG
rnacentral:rRNA from 1 species